UGCGGAGGAUCCUGGUCGG
rnacentral:misc_RNA from 1 species